AUGCCAGCGGCGACUGUAGAUCAUAGCCAAAGAAUUUGUGAAGUUUGGGCUUGCAACUUGGAUGAAGAGAUGAAGAAAAUUCGUCAGGUUAUCCGAAAAUAUAAUUACGUUGCUAUGGACACGAGUUUCCAGCUGUGGUUGCAAAACCCAUUGGAGAAUUCAGGAGCAAUGCUGAUUAUCAAUACCAACUAUUGCGGUGUAAUGUAGACUUGUUAAAGAUAAUUCAGCUAGGGCUGACAUUUAUGAAUGAGCAAGGAGAAUACCCUCCAGGAACUUCAACUUGGCAGUUUAAUUUUAAAUUUAAUUUG
rnacentral:lncRNA from 1 species